rnacentral:rRNA from 1 species
AAUCAACGCUGGCGGCGUGCCUCAGACAUGCAAGUCGAACGAUUAAAGCUCUCUUCGGAGAGUGUAUAGAGUGGCGCACGGGUGAGUAACACGUAAGUAAUCUACCUUUGAGUGGGGAAUAACCCGGGGAAACCCGAGCUAAUACCGCAUAAUGCAGCGGCACCGCAAGGUGACAGUUGUUAAAGGAGCAAUCCGCUUAAAGAGGAGCUUGCGGCAGAUUAGCUAGNGGUAAGGUAAUGGCUUACCAAGGCUACGAUCUGUAUCCGGUCUAAGAGGACGGUCGGACACACUGACACUGAAUAACGGGUCAGACUCCUACGGGAGGCAGCAGUCGGGAAUUUUGGGCAAUGGGCGAAAGCCUGACCCAGCAACGCCGCGUGAAGGAUGAAGUAUUUCGGUAUGUAAACUUCGAAAGAAUAGGAAGAAUAAAUGACGGUACUAUUUAUAAGGUCC